rnacentral:misc_RNA from 1 species
GAUGAAGAACGCAGCGAAAUGCGAUAAGUAAUGUGAAUUGCAGAAUUUAGUGAAUCAUCGAAUCUUUGAACGCACCUUGCACCCUUUGGUAUUCCGAAGGGUAUGCUCGUUUGAGUGUCAUUGUACUCUCACACUUCUAAUUCCUUUCGGGAUUGGGAGCGGUGGACUUGGGUGUUGCUGCUUUAGUUGUGGCUCACCUCAAAUAAGUUAGUGCAACUCUUGGUUGGACAUAGUACGGCGUGAUAAGUGUCUUCGCCGGCGCCUCUGUAAGGAGGGUGGCCGAUCGGGAGCUCUGUGCUUCAAACCGUCUUCGGACAAUCUUUGACAACUUGACCUCAAAUCGAGUAGGACUACCCGCUGAACUUAAGCAUAUCAAUAAGCGGAGGA